rnacentral:tRNA from 1 species
AACGCGGUAGUUUAAUAAAAAUAUUUGUUUUGCGUAUAAAUGAUGGGCUUUCUCCCGUGUUA